rnacentral:rRNA from 1 species
AUUGAACGCUGGCGGCAGGCCUAACACAUGCAAGUCGGGCGAGUGGCGGACGGGUGAGUAAUGUAUGGGGAACUGCCUGAUGGCGGGGGAUAACUACUGGAAACGGUAGCUAAUACCGCAUACCAUCAGAUGAACCCAGAUGGGAUUAGCUAGUAGGUGAGGUAACGGCUUACCUAGGCGACGAUCCCUAGCUGGUCUGAGAGGAUGAUCAGCCACACUGGGACUUAGACACGGCCCAGACUCCUACGGAAGGCAGCAGUGGUGAAUAUUGCACAAUGGGCGCAAGCCUGAUGCAGCCAUGCCGCUUGUAUGAAGAAGGCCUUCGGGUUGUAAAGUACUUUCAGUCGGGAGGCGGUACGGACAGAAGAAGCACCGGCUAACUCCGUGCCAGCAGCCGCGGUAAUAG